AGAGUUUGAUCCUGGCUCAGGACGAACGCUGGCGGCGUGCCUAAUACAUGCAAGUCGAACGAAACUUUCUUACACCGAAUGCUUGCAUUCACCGUAAGAAGUUGAGUGGCGGACGGGUGAGUAACACGUGGGUAACCUGCCUAAAAGAAGGGGAUAACACUUGGAAACAGGUGCUAAUACCGUAUAUCUCUAAGGAUCGCAUGAUCCUUAGAUGAAAGAUGGUUCUGCUAUCGCUUUUAGAUGGACCCGCGGCGUAUUAACUAGUUGGUGGGGUAACGGCCUACCAAGGUGAUGAUACGUAGCCGAACUGAGAGGUUGAUCGGCCACAUUGGGACUGAGACACGGCCCAAACUCCUACGGGAGGCAGCAGUAGGGAAUCUUCCACAAUGGACGCAAGUCUGAUGGAGCAACGCCGCGUGAGUGAAGAAGGUCUUCGGAUCGUAAAACUCUGUUGUUAGAGAAGAACACGAGUGAGAGUAACUGUUCAUUCGAUGACGGUAUCUAACCAGCAAGUCACGGCUAACUACGUGCCAGCAGCCGCGGUAAUACGUAGGUGGCAAGCGUUGUCCGGAUUUAUUGGGCGUAAAGGGAACGCAGGCGGUCUUUUAAGUCUGAUGUGAAAGCCUUCGGCUUAACCGGAGUAGUGCAUUGGAAACUGGAAGACUUGAGUGCAGAAGAGGAGAGUGGAACUCCAUGUGUAGCGGUGAAAUGCGUAGAUAUAUGGAAGAACACCAGCGGCGAAAGCGGCUCUCUGGUCUGUAACUGACGCUGAGGUUCGAAAGCGUGGGUAGCAAACAGGAUUAGAUACCCUGGUAGUCCACGCCGUAAACGAUGAAUGCUAGGUGUUGGAGGGUUUCCGCCCUUCAGUGCCGCAGCUAACGCAAUAAGCAUUCCGCCUGGGGAGUACGACCGCAAGGUUGAAACUCAAAGGAAUUGACGGGGGCCCGCACAAGCGGUGGAACAUGUGGUUUAAUUCGAAGCACCGCGAAGAACCUUACCAGGUCUUGAAUCCUUUGACACACUAAAGAUUAAGGUUUCCCUUCGGGGAAAAAUGACAGGUGUGCCAGGGGUGUCCUCAACUCUGGCCCGAGAAAUUUGGGGUAAAUCCCCGCACCAACGCCACACCUUGUGUGCAUUUGCCACCAUAAAUUUGGGGCCUCUGGGGAAAAUCCGGGUGACACACCAGAAAGAGGGGGGGACGACGUCAAGUCAUCAUGCCCCUUAUGACCUGGGCUACACACGUGCUACAAUGGACGGUACAACGAGUCGCGAGACCGCGAGGUUUAGCUAAUCUCUUAAAGCCGUUCUCAGUUCGGAUUGUAGGCUGCAACUCGCCUACAUGAAGUCGGAAUCGCUAGUAAUCGCGAAUCAGCAUGUCGCGGUGAAUACGUUCCCGGGCCUUGUACACACCGCCCGUC
rnacentral:rRNA from 1 species